UUGUUUGGUGCAGAACUGUAAAAUUCACCAUUCUGUGGUUGGACUUAGAUCAUGCAUAUCAGAGGGAGCAAUUAUACAUUAAUGAUGGGAGCAGAUUACUAUGAGUGAAAAUGUUCAAGAAGCAGCUAGGGAAACUGAAGGAUAUUUCACUAAAAGUGGAAUCGUCACAAUCAUCAAGGAUGCAUUGAUUCCUAGUGGAACCAUCAUGUAGAAGUAUUUGAAAAUCAUGUGUACAUGAUUACUGUAGUGUAGCCGUUAGAGAGACUAAUGAUGCAUCUUGUUAAACCUUUUGUUUUAGUUUUGAAAUUUUAAAUAAUAAAGCAUUAUUGUCAUCUCUAUGCUGCUUUUUUCCCA